UACGGGAGGCAGCAGUGGGGAAUAUUGCACAAUGGGCGCAAGCCUGAUGCAGCCAUGCCGCGUGUAUGAAGAAGGCCUUCGGGUUGUAAAGUACUUUCAGUCGUGAGGAAGGUGUUAAGGUUAAUAACCUUAGCAAUUGACGUUAGCGACAGAGGAAGCACCGGCUAACUCCGUGCCAGCAGCCGCGGUAAUACGGAGGGUGCGAGCGUUAAUCGGAAUUACUGGGCGUAAAGGGCACGCAGGCGGUUAAUUAAGUUGGAUGUGAAAUCCCCGGGCUUAACCUGGGAAUGGCAUUCAAGACUGGUUAGCUAGAGUCUUGUAGAGGGGGUAGAAUUCCAUGUGUAGCGGUGAAAUGCGUAGAGAUGUGGAGGAAUACCGGUGGCGAAGGCGGCCCCUGGACAAAGACUGACGCUCAUGUGCGAAAGCGUGGGGAGCGAAACAGGGAUUAGAUACC
rnacentral:rRNA from 1 species